UCCAGAGCCAUAUCACCCUGUAGGGCUCGUCGGGUUUCCCACUGAGGCUAAGCAGGGUUGAGCGUGACAAGUACAUGGAUGGGAGACCCCAUGGGAAAAAUUAAGGUUGCUGCUUUAA
rnacentral:rRNA from 1 species